rnacentral:lncRNA from 1 species
GAUCAGGAUUGCACUGACAUACAGUAUAUGGUCAAUCAUUUACGCUGUGAUUCACUUCUUUCACUUCCAGACAGAUUUGAUCAAAUCAAGACAACUCUGAAAGAAGAUUUGGAACGAGAAGAAAGAUUGAGGAAGAUUGCAGAGAACAACCUUGACCUGCAGAAGGAGGAGGACCAUGAGAAGGAGGUGGAGGUUCUGAGGAAGGAGAUCCGGAGGCUGAAAGGAGGAGAUAGUGGCUACAGAGAACAGACAGAGGAGGAGGCGCAGGUUAACACUGAUUUACAGGAAACCAGGUCAUCAUACAAGCUCACCAGGCACGUCAAGGUGAUACCCGAGUUACGUAAAGAUCUUCACAACCUGCAGACCCAGAAAGAUGAUCUGGGCAGGAAGAUGAAGAAUCAGUCAGAACAGGCCAGAGGUAGCUUUCUAUAUUCUAUUAUUAAACUGGGUGGUUCCAGCCCCGAAUGCUGAUUGGCUGACAGCCAUGGUAUAUCAGACUGUAUACCACGGGUAUGACUAAACAUUUAUUUUUACUGCUCUAAUUAAGUUGGUAACCAGUUUAUAAUAGCAAUAAGGCACCUCGAGGGUUUGUGAUAUAUGGCUAAUAUAGGGCUGUAUCCAGGCACUCCACAUUGCGUCAUGCUUAAGAACAGCCCUUAGCCGUGGUAUAUUGGCCAUAUACCACACCUCCUCAGACCUUAUUGCUUAAAAAAAUACUCUCUGUAAUGUAUUGUGUUAUGGGUAUUUUUCUAUUCAUGCCAACAGUGUCUUUAUAUGGAUUGAUGAAUGCUUUACAAAUCCAGAUGAUUUUGUUGUCACUUCUCAUACAUGAUUGUUUGUGGCUCUCUCCGUACAGCCAAGAUGAGUGUGAUCACAAGACAACUUCUUUGUGGCAUGGUUGAAGAGGAGGUCAUUUCCAGGUAGUCUAAUGGCAUUAUGCAUUUCCUAAAAUUUGUGAGAAGAAAAGUUCACUUUAGCCUUAAGCAUUACACAUGUUUCCGUUGAAAGGUUGACCUCCGACAGUCCAGACCAGAUCUAUGAAGUUGGGAAUUUGUCGACUGCAUUUGAUGGACUGCAGAAAGCUUGCAGGUUUGAGACAACACCUGUACAUUUACUGACUAAAGUAUGCUACUUGUUUAGCUAACUAAGGCAGUGUUUCCCAACUCCGGUCCUCCAGUCCCACCAACAGCCCAACCCCUUACUGUAUCUACUGUAUCUACUUAUACUGUACCUUCUACUG